UUGGAUGUGAUGCAUGAAAAAAAACAUCUGAUUUCCACUGAUGGUUUUUGUAUUCAUACUGUCUGAUCCAG